rnacentral:lncRNA from 1 species
AAAACUCAGGAGUUCCCACUGUGGAGCAGUGGGCUAAGGAUCCGGCACUGUCUUUGCAAUGGCUCAGGUUGCUGCUGAGGCAUGGGUUUGAUGACCAGCUUGGCACAGCAGGUUAAGGAUCUGGCAUUGCCACAGCUGCGGCAUACGUGGCAGUGCUGCUUGGAUUGGACCCUGGCCCAGAACAUCCAAAUGCUGUGGGCAUGACCAAAAACCAAGACUCAGACAUGAAGCAGGUGCUUGGGAGUACCUGACAGGGAAUUUAAAGUGACUCUGUUUUAGUCGUUAAAACAUGGAGUUCCCAUCGUGGCGCAGUGGUUAACGAAUCCGACUAGGAACCAUGGGGUUGCGGGUUCGGUCCCUGCCCUUGCUCAGUGGGUUAAGGAUCCGGCGUUGCCGUGAGCUGUGGUGUAGGUUGCAGAUGUGGCUCGGAUCCCGCGUUGCUGUGGCUCUGGCGUAGGCCGACAGCUACAGCUCUGAUUCGACCCCUAGCCUGGGAACCUCCAUAUGCCGCGGGAGCGGCCCAAGAAAUAGCUAAAAAGACAAAAAAACAAAAAACAAACAAAAAAAAAAACAUGUUAACAACUCUAACAGAAGAGAUGGACAACAUGAAAUAUCAGGGGGUAAUUUAACUCGAGAAAUGAAAAUGGAAUCCGUGACGCUUAAGAUAGGUCAGAGAAAAUCCCCAACUGAAGCAAAAAGAGAAAAAUGAGCAGGAAUGAGGGCUGGACAGAAUACCCCAGAAGGGAGAAAAUUUAAAACAUCCUCCCAGACCUGUAAGUAGAAGAGGUGAACAAAGAGCAGAAGAAACAAUGUUUCCAAAAUUUCCCAAAUUAAUGACAGACACCAAACCACAGAUCCAAGAAGCUCAGAAAAAACGUCAAGCAGGAUAAACAAACAACAACAAAAACCCUGGUCAUAUCACUGCCAAACUGCUGAAAACAAAAAAGUGAAACCUCUGAAGGCUGUCAGGGAUAAGAGACACAUUACACACAGAAGAACAGACACAAUUAAAAGCAAGCUUCUUGUAAAAAACCAUGUCAGCCAAACUGAAAAGGAGGGGAGGGGGAUAAAAACAUUUAAAAACCUAUUCACUCAAAUUUCUAUACCCAGCAAAGGAAUCAUUAAAAAUAACGGAGGCAUUCCCGUCAUGGCGCAGCAGAAAUGAAUCCGACUAGGAACCGCGGGGUUGCCAGUUCAAUCCCUGGCCUCACUCAGUGGGUUUAAGGAUCUGGCGCUGCUGUGGGGGUUGCCAGUUGUUGAAGACGCGGCUCAGAUCUGGAGUUGCUGUGGCUGUGGCGCAGGCCGGUGGCAACAGCUCUGAUUAGACCCCUAGCCUGGGAACCUCCACAUGCAGCAGGUGUGGCCCAAAAAAAGACAAUCAAUCAAUCAAUGAGAAAUAAAGACUUUCCCAGAAAGAAACACUGAAGAAAUUCAUUGCCAAGAAGACUUAACCUACAAGAAAUAUUAAAGACAAUAUUUUAAGCAGAAAAAAUAUAGUAUAAGAUUGAAACGUGGAUCUACUCAAAGAAAUGAAGAAUCCUGAAAAUAGAAUACAAUGAAAGUAAAAUAAAAUCAGUUUUUCCCCUUUAAAAAACUGCACUGAAAGAUGACUUUCAAAAGCAAAAAGAGUGGAAUUCCGUGUGGUGCAGUGAGUUAAGGAUCCUACAUUGUCACUACAGUUGCUCCAGUCACUGCUGUGGUGCAGGUUCAAUCCCUGGCCCAGGAACUUCCGCAUGCUGGGGUGCAGCCCCCCUCCAAAAAAAAAAAAAAAAAAAAAAGAAGCAAUCUACUGUGUGUUUAUAGUACAUGUAAAAUGAAUACCAUCAAUAGCACAAAGAAGAGAAGUUCUCUUCAUGGCGCAGCAGGAAAGAAUCAGACUAGCAUCCAUGAGGACGUGGGUUCAUCCCUGGCCUCACUCAGUGGGUUAAGGAUCUGGCAUUGCCAUGAGCUGUGGUGUAGGUGGCAGAUGUGGCUCAGAUCUGGCGUUGCUGUGACUGUGGUGUAGGAUGGCAGCUACAGCUCUAAUUCGACCCCUAGCCUGUGAACCUCCAUAUGCCAAGGGUGCAGCCCUAAAGAGAAGGGAAAAAAAAUGUAUCUUUGAAGUUCCCAUGUGGUGCAACAGGUUAAGGAUCUGGCAUUGUCACUGCAGCAGCUUGGGCUGUGGCAAGGGUUCUAUCCCUGAACCCGAAGCCUGGUGCAACCAAAGAGAAAAACUAAAACAAAAACAAAUGCCUUUUUAAAAAAUGCCUAAAAACAUAUCAAGAAUAUAGUGGAGGAAUUCCCAUCGUGGCGCAGUGGUUAACGAAUCCGACUAGGAACCAUGAGGUUGCCGGUUCCAUCCCUGGCCUGGCCCAGUGGGUUAAGGACCUGGCGUUGCCAUGAGCUGUGGUGUAGUUGCAGACGCGGCUCGGAUCCCGCGUUGCUGUGGCUCUGGCGUAGGCCGGCGGCUACAGCUCUGAUUGGACCCCUAGCCUGGGAACCUCCAUAUGCCGCGGGAGCAGCCCUAGAAAAGGCAAAAGGACGAAUAAAUAAUAAUUAAUAAAUAAAUGAAAGAAUAUAGUGGAAUAAAUUAAUGGGAAUGACUUUAAUGUCUCUACCGGCACCGUUCCUGCAAAGGGCAGACCAGCACAAGCAGGUGGAACAUCAGUGGUAACUAAAAGGAGAAAUUGCAGAAAGAUAGCAUUUUGGCAAGAAAAGCCUGGAUCUCUGGAGCCAGAAUGCUUGGAUUUUCCCAACUCCACCUCCUAACAAGCCACAUAACUUUGAGAAGUCACGCAACCUUUGUAGAACUCCUUUUUUUUCUUCUGAGAAAUAAGAUAUCCCACACGGUGUUAACAAAAAAAGUCUGUUUUUAAAAACAACACGGAACCCUACAGCUGCUUAGAAAAUACACACUCAAAAUAAAACGCAGUUUAGCAGUGGUUGAAAACUGCACCGUUUACCCCAAAACAAGUCAUUUAACCCUCCGUUUCCAUAUUUGCAACUGGGAGAUUUUUAUUUAUUAUUUUAUUUAUUUACUGUCUCUUUGGGGCUACACCCACGGCAUACGGAGGUUCCCAGGCUAGGAGUCGAAUCACAGCUGCAGCCGCCGGCCUGCACCACAGCCC